UACGGAGGGAGCUAGCGUUGUUCGGAUAUACUGGGCGUAAAGCGCACGUAGGCGGCGUCGUAAGUCAGGGGUGAAAUCCCGGAGCUCAACUCCGGAACUGCCCUUGAAACUGCAAUGCUAGAAUCUUGGAGAGGCGAGUGGAAUUUCCGAGUGUAGAGGUGAAAUUCGUAGAUAUUCGGAAGAACACCAGUGGUGAAGGCGACUCGCUGGACAAGUAUUGACGCUGAGGUGCGAAAGCGUGGGGAGCAAACAGG
rnacentral:rRNA from 1 species